CCUACGGGGGGCUGCAGUGGGGAAUAUUGGACAAUGGGGGCAACCCUGAUCCAGCCAUGCCGCGUGUGUGAAGAAGGCCCUCGGGUUGUAAAGCACUUUCAGUGAGGAAGAACGCCUGGUGGUUAAUACCCAUCAGGAAAGACAUCACUCACAGAAGAAGCACCCGCUAACUCCGUGCCAGCAGCCGCGGUAAUACGGAGGGUGCGAGCGUUAAUCGGAAUUACUGGGCGUAAAGCGCGCGUAGGUGGCUUGAUAAGCCGGUUGUGAAAGCCCCGGGCUCAACCUGGGAACGGCAUCCGGAACUGUCAAGCUAGAGUGCAGGAGAGGAAGGUAGAAUUCCCGGUGUAGCGGUGAAAUGCGUAGAGAUCGGGAGGAAUACCAGUGGCGAAGGCGGCCUUCUGGACUGACACUGACACUGAGGUGCGAAAGCGUGGGUAGCAAACAGGAUUAGAUACCCUUGUAGUC
rnacentral:rRNA from 1 species